AACGAACGCUGGCGGCGUGCCUAACACAUGCAAGUCGGAUGUGCCGCAAGGUGCAUGGCAGACGGGUGAGUAACGCGUAGGGAAUCUACCUUUUUGUGGGGAAUAACGCCCCGAAAGGAGUGGUAAUACCGCAUGAGACCGUGACCUGGGAUGGUUACGGUGAAACCUGGGGACCGCAAGGCCUGGGGCAAAAAAGAGGAUCCUGCGUCUGAUUAGCUAGUUGGCGGGGUAAUGGCCCACCAAGGGCGACGAUCAGUAGCCGGCCUGAGAGGGUGAUCGGCCACACUGGAACUGAGACACGGUCCAGACUCCUACGGGAGGCAGCAGUGGGGAAUUUUGCGCAAUGGACGAAAGUCUGACGCAGCAACGCCGCGUGGGUGAUGAAGGUCUUCGGACUGUAAAACCCUGUCGUCAGGGACGAAGGUGGCAGUGUUAAUAGCGCUGUUACUUGACGGUACCUGGAGAGGAAGCCCCGGCUAACUCUGUGCCAGCAGCCGCGGU
rnacentral:rRNA from 1 species